rnacentral:lncRNA from 1 species
CCCAAAAUUUUCCAAGGUUCUCGGUUUAGUCCCAAACAGCCUUUAAUGCAUGUUUAGAGCCUCGGUAGCUCGCGUAAGGGACAUUAUGCAUGUGAUUGAAUGUUUUUAAUUUAAAUGAAAUUUUAUGACCCGAUUUUACGAAAUUCUAUACUUUUAAGUCAGGUAAUGCCUUGAACCCUGUCCCGGCGUCGGAUACGGGUAAGGGGUGUUACACAUUCUCUUUUAACUUUUUCUCCUUUCCUCUACCAUGAUCGAACCCUUCACCACCGUUCACCAUGCCUCGUGUGCACCGCACCUCCUCCCCUAAUCUUUUUCUCCUCCUAUCCCCACUGUGAUCACCACCGCGGGUCUUUUUUCUCCUCCAUUUCUCCCUUCCCUUUUUAUUUUCUUCUCCAACCUUGUUGCACCAAAACUCGUAUAGUUCCUUUUCUUCAACCAUCGUCGAACCACUGCUCCCUCGUCACCAGACCGCUACCGUCGCCACCGCCACUGGUGGUUGAAUUUCUUCCAUUUUCUUCCUUUUCUAUUUUGUUGUUCCAUAUAUUAAUUAAACUUAUACUCACUUUGCUCUAAUGAUUCUUUUAAAUUGCUCAACUCACUGAUCUUGUUUCUUUUCUGAUUCAUCGUCCAUCUUGAUUUAAUCAAGUUUGUAAGUGUAGGUUAUUUUGAUCAUAGACUCGUCGUCUUAGUGAUUUCAUCUUUUGGCCGAAUAGUAUAGUGGCCAUAGGGAUAAUUAUUUAUUAUUAUUUAUUUUUGUUGUAAUAUUGUUCCUUACAAUAUUUGAAGGAGCAAAUGAUAAUCAUAGGGG